CCCCUAGACGUUCUGGGCUGCACGCGCGCUACAAUAAUACGCACAGCGAGUAUCACCGAGCUCGAAAGGGCAAGGUAAACAAUAGAAAAGGUACUGUAAUGGUUAUAGAUCCUUGUAAUUAUUGAUCUUCAACGAGGAAUUCCUAGUAAGUAUGUGUCAUCAUCACGCACUGAUUACGUCCCUGCCCUUUGUAAACACCGCCCGUCGCUCCUACCGAUUGGGUGAGCCGAUGAAACUCUCGGAUGUAGGCUAUUCAUAGCCCGCAGAAGAGAUUUGAAUCGUAGCGCUUAGAGGAAGGAGAAGUCGUAACA
rnacentral:rRNA from 1 species